UGUUUAGGCAGGUAGGGCCCCGGGGGGAAGUGAAGAGUGAGGGCUGAGCCGCCUACGAGGGAGGAAGACUGCCUCAGGGCCUUGAGCCGCAAGGUCCCACUGCGGCACGUGAGCUGCUGCGAGCUGCCAGGGACUCCGGCGCCGGCGCGGGGCGCAUCCUUGGGAACCCAUCCUUGGGAGCCGCUGACAGUCCAGUUCCAGGCUGCCCCAGAGCUCCAGCACCCUUCAGUCUUUUCUCCUCCAGUUGUGGAAGGCAAGAAGAGGCACAGACCCAUCAAGAGUGCAGAAGGUGCUGGAAAGAGAUAUCAAACGUCCGAGGUCUCUCUGUGUUCACAGCUAAAUACACAUAUAUUUAUGGAGCAUCGAUUAUGAUGAGCCCAGCAGCCCAAGGUUAAACAGGAGAGUUCCCUUCCAGAACUUACUGUUAACAGGCCUAAUUAAAAUCCAUCGACGUGGGACUUCCCUCGUGGCGCAGUGGUUAAGAAUCCGACUGCCAAUGCAGGGGACGUGGGUUCGAUCCUUCGUCCGGGAAGAUCCCACGUGCCACGGAGCAACUAAGCCCGUGCGCCACAACUACUGAGCCUGCACUCUAGAGCCCGUGAGCCACAAGUAGUGAAGCCCGCGCUCCUAGAGCCCGUGCUCUGAAACGAGAGAAGCCACUGCAGUGAGACGCCCACGCACCACAAUGAAGAGUAGCCCCCCCUCAAGCAACUAGAGAAUGCCCACGUGCAG